rnacentral:misc_RNA from 1 species
ACAAACUUGGUCAUUUAGAGGAAGUAAAAGUCGUAACAAGGUCUCCGUAGGUGAACCUGCGGAGGGAUCAUUAUUAGAAUUUUGAGAUUUGUACUUCAAAUCUCAUCUUCUCUAUCAUUGUUUAUUUAAACCUUAUAACAUUGCUUUGGUUAAAACUUUAACCAGCUUUAACCAUUAGCCAUCAUUAAUCAAAUUCAUUAUAAAUCUUGACCUGAUCAAAUUUUUAAAUUUUUAAUUAAAUUUUGAAAUAAAACUUUCAACAACGGAUCUCUUGGUUCUGGCAUCGAUGAAGAACGCAGC